rnacentral:lncRNA from 1 species
GUGAUUCCCUGCAGCCCUUUGCCUGCUGAGCAGUCACAGCUAUUGAGGCUGAAUGCAUUGUCAAGUCAUUAUCCUGACCAAAAUUUGUGACCUUUGUGUUCUCUUCUGUUGCAGUGAUCCUGAAAAUUUCAGUGGGCUUUGAUAGGUUGAAAUGGGUAUUUUUACAAUGACUUUUGGUAUUUCCUGUUUUGGAAGGAGGAAAAGUAGCAGUUCUUCUGGAAGAACAUAAUUUUAUCAUGUUUUGCCCUAGACAAAAUAAAAGCUAUGUCCUUCCUACUCUAAAUAGGAAGGGAAAUGAGGAAUGACAAGCCACUAGACUGCUCACAGUGGCAUAACUGCUUUUAGUACUUUAUAUCCUUGGCAGGAGGACAGGAUCUUUUUUUUCCUUUUUGGCCAGCUCGCUGUGUAGCCACUUUAUGUGGCAUGUGUAGCCACUGUAGUCCUGUUUGCAUUCUUCACAAAGAGUGACACUUCUGAGCAUUUCCUUGGAUUGUGGGUGACCUUUUUACCAACCUCAGCCUGCUGGAGAAACGUAACAUCUAAGCUCUUGUGUUUUCCUAAAAAAAUUAUUUCCAUCAGCUCAAUGGACAGUAACACUGCUUUCCAUCUUUUGUGAAAAGGUAGAGAGCCUUGUCUGGCUGUUCCUUGGGGUUAGUUGGCAUGCUGCUGCAGAAAUUGUGCACAAGCAAUGCCAGAGGAUGUUUCUGGCCACAGCUGUCUAGUCAUUAAAAGAUCCAACAUUUGGAUCUUGGUAACACCCCUAGUACAUGAAGGUAUUGGGAAUUUUUUUUUAUUUUUUAAAAAAAUUAUUAAUUAAUUUAUUUAUAUUUUUAACUGUCUCUCAGUGAAAGAUGGCCUGAUGCAGUUAAACAGCCCUGGAGGAAACUUCAUCUGAGGGGGCUGGAGAUGUGUAAAGUGGUUGUGUGUGGGAGGACAGAAAGAAAUGAAAUUAAGGUUUGGGGCAGUCAUAGCUGCUGUGUGUUUAGUGGUCAGCAUAAACUCUUCAGCAAAGGUAUUUUCAAAGGAGGUGAUGUUGAGAAUGAUAGUUACUGUUGUCUGAGCCAAGAGCUGCUUCCAGAGGAGCACACUGAAACACUGAAAGAGUGCCUCAUUGUCUGCAUUUGCCUGGGCAGUUGAAACUCUCAAGUAGCUUCUGCUGGGGAUUGCUGUGCUUAUUCUGCCUAUACUGCCUUGAUAAAAAUUAUGGCAGUGCUUUAUUUAUAACCUGUCUCUGCUUCUGGACUACCCAAGCAAUUGUUGCCUUUUCUCAGGAAAUCAUAAGACUUACAGCUGGUGAAGCGCCUUGUUUCUUGGAGAGGUGAAUAGUGAUGAAAAAGAUGGAGGAGUUUUACAAUAGUACUUAAACACCUACAAAAGCAGCUGCCUUAUCAUUGUUUCCUUAACAAUCAUUAACGUACCAGGGAUCAACUAGAAUAAAUCCAAGCUGAAAGAUAUAAAUAGCCCCUUA